AUUGGAACUAACAGAAAGUAAAGAAAACUGAAAAGACAAUAUAUUUGACAUGUUUGAGUCACUGUUUCGACUCUGUUUUGCGAAUUAAUAUAAGAAGGAGAAAGAUCUGUAUAAGAAAAAUGGAUUACAAAACCAUUAUAUUCUGAGCUAAUAAAGGCAAAUGAAAUCUAAAUUUGAAUCUCACUUGCAACAAUUAUCCCAAAUGAAAUUGUCUGUACACACAUGCCAAGUUUUAUUGACCAUGUUUAUGGUGGAAUGGUGUUUUCUUCAAACUUAGUUCCCACUAAUCUGAGUCAUUCGAACUAAAGGAGAAUAAAGAAAACUGAAAAGGCAAGAUCUUGGAGUCACUGUUUUUUUAUUUUAUUUUGCUGAAAAAUAUAAGAAG
rnacentral:lncRNA from 1 species